CCUACGGGUGGCAGCAGUGGGGAAUAUUGCACAAUGGGGGGAACCCUGAUGCAGCAACGCCGCGUGAAGGAAGACGGUUUUCGGAUUGUAAACUUCUAUCAAUAGGGAAGAAAGAAAUGACGUUACCUGAAUAAGAAGCCCCGGCUAACUACGUGCCAGCAGCCGCGGUAAUACGGAGGGGGCAAGCGUUAGCCGGAAUUACUGGGUGUAAAGGGCGAGUAGGCGGCAAGGUAAGCGAGAUGUGAAAUCCUUAGGCUUAACCUGAGGAUUGCAUAAAGAACUAUCAAGCUAGAGUACAGGAGAGGAAGGCGGAAUUCUUGGUGUAGCGGUAAAAUGCGUAGAGAUUAGGAAGAACACCAGUGGCGAAGGCGGCUUUCUAGACUGAAACUGACGCUGAGGCUCGAAAGCGUGGGGAGCGAACAGGAUUAGAUACCCGGGUAGUC
rnacentral:rRNA from 1 species